UCUUCAUUUCUCGCACUGCCUCGUCGGUCAGAGAGGCGAGAGAGCGUACGAAAUGAGGAGA
rnacentral:pre_miRNA from 1 species